AAAGAAAACUGACAAGUUAUAAAUAAAAUUUGAGUUUCGAGCAUGAUUGGUAUAUAGAACUGAAUUGGGGCCACGAAUACGAUGCCAUCUUUCACCUCUACUUAAUAUUUGGAUGUGGUGUUUUGCCAAAACCAGAUUUGGGUUUUCUACCCUAACCAAAUUUAUAAUUCUACGGAAGGCCCUGCGACAACCUAAUGGAUUGAAUAGCUAAUCCAUGUAAAAUGUGG